ACCCCCAGCAAUGAGCAAAAAAACACCUUGUUGGUAGUGUUCUUCUAUCAGUCAGGGGCAGAGAAGAUGGCAGGCUUUUGUUCACCCUACCUUGAUGCCUGGCUUGGUGGUCAAAGCUGUCUUGUGCCUAGGACACAUAA